AGGAGGUUAGUCUAAAGUAAGACCUCUGAUUUCGACUCAGAAAAUUGUGGUUUAAGUCCACAACCCCCUU
rnacentral:tRNA from 1 species